UUCCAGACUCCUACGGGAGGCAGCAGUGGGGAAUAUUGCACAAUGGGCGAAAGCCUGAUGCAGCAACGCCGCGUGAAGGAAGAAGGGUUUCGGCUCGUAAACUUCUAUCAACAGGGACGAAAGAAAUGACGGUACCUGACUAAGAAGCCCCGGCUAGCUACGUGCCAGCAGCCGCGGUAAUACGUAGGGGGCAAGCGUUAUCCGGAUUUACUGGGUGUAAAGGGAGCGCAGGCGGCACGGCAAGCCUGAUGUGAAAGCCCGCGGCCCAACCGCGGGACUGCAUUGGGAACUACCGGGCUGGAGUGCCGGAGAGGUAGGCGGAAUUCCUAGUGUAGCGGUGAAAUGCGUAGAUAUUAGGAGGAACACCAGUGGCGAAGGCGGCCUACUGGACGGUGACUGACGCUGAGGCUCGAAAGCGUGGGGAGCAAACAGGAUUAGAUACCCCCGUA
rnacentral:rRNA from 1 species